AGUCAUGUUCUAUAUAUUCAUAGUAAUUCAAUCUUGGGCGGUCAUGUUCUAUAUAUUCUAUAGUAAUUCAAUCUUGGGCGGUCAUGUUCUAUAUAUUCUAUAGUAAUUCAAUCUUGGGCGGUCAUGUUCUAUAUAUUCAUAGUAAUUCAAUCUUGGGCGGUCAUGUUCUCUAUAUUCUAUAGUAAUUCAAUCUUGGGCGGUCACGUUCUAUAUACAUGAUAUAUUCAUAGUAAUUCAAUCAUAGCCGGGCAUCCCAUGCUCAUUAUGUUAAUCCUGGCCAAGUCAAGUUUAAAACAUGGCCAUCUUAUCUUGGCCGGUCAUGAUUUCAAUCUUGACUAUCCAUCGCCGGUCAUGAUUGAUUGCAUUGGCCAAGAUACACUUCCCAAGAUUUUAUAUGAUCGGGAUUCGGCCAAGAUAGCAGUGCCCCAAGAUGUAUUACUUCCAAACGCAGUCAAGAUUCACUUCCUAAGAUUUUACAUCAUCGGGAUAGCAGUGCGCCGAGAUGUUAUUAUAACUUCAAAACGCAGUCAAGAUUCACUUCCCAAGAUUUCAAAAGAUAAAGAUUUAUUUCCCAAGAUUUCAAAAGAUCAAGAAUUACUUCACACGAGGGAUCGAGUUUCGGCCAAGAAUUUUUAGUAUGCAGAUGCAAGAUGCGCGACAUUACGAAUAUAUCAGCCUGCUCGAAUGUGCGGAGUGAUCAGCUGGACUUGGCUACAGACAUAAUUAGUCAGGAGUCAUUGUUGUUCGAUCAUCCAGUUUUGUGUGCUGUACGUGCAAGGCCAAAGGGGUCGAUUGAGGCCAGUUCCACAUCUGCCAUACCCAGCUUAAAGAUGUACGCAAAACAAUGUUCUCAUUUAUCUUAGAAUUAUGAGAUGUUGUGCAGGAUCAUGUUUUCCGUGUUUUGUGUACACUGAGAGGGCUGCACAAGAUUAUCCAGCAAAUGGAUGUCAAUGACUCUUUGCCUCCUGAAUGUCAUUUGGGCCGACUUGUUAUUCAUAUCCAAGUUUCACUUGCAUUUAUUCUCUGAUAAAAUAGCUGUUGAUCUUGUACAAGAUUUUCGGUUCAUUUGUUAUGGGAGAAUCAAGAAAGAGUUAAAGUAUCAAGAUCUGGUAGACAACAUCCGCAGCAAAGGAUGGAUUGCGUGGGUUUUCCCAGUGGAGAUAGGCCGCAGAGGAUUCCCAGCCCAGUCUAUGUGGAGAUCGAUGUCAGUCCUGGGAAUUAAGGGGAAAGAAAGAAAAGCUGAAAUAUAGAGACUGUCAACAUCAUGCUGGUUAUGGUGGAGAAGAGCAGUGCAGAGCUGGAGGCCAUCUACAGAUGGGCAAUGAUUUGGCCAAUUAUUGCUGACUCAUCACCUCAAGGACAUUCCAAGAUUGGAGUAGAAACGACCAACGACGGGUGGACCUGGCUGACGAUGUCUGUAGAUUUAGCAGUGAACUCACUGUUUUAGUGCUUUGCUGUAGAUGACACUUUGGUCAUGAUUUGAAAAGUGGACCUGCCUACCCGAGAACCAUACAGCUUGUACUGGAUGUAUUAGAUCUGUCACAAAUAUAAAAUUAAAAAUA